UCAUUAAAAUAUAAUGUAAUACACGGAUCGUCCCUAGAGCAAGUGGCAAAAUAUUUGAUGGUUGAUACCGGAGACCCAAGUUUGAAUCUCAGUUGAUUCACAUUUCCAACUAAGUUUAUUUCUAAAUGAAAUAAACGAAGCGGAUAGCGUGUUACCUAUCUCUUAAAAAAAAACAUAAUGUAAUAAUUUUAUAUUAAAAUAAUAUUAAAAAAUAUUUCUGUAUUUGUAAAUAAUAUUAAAAUAUUUGAUAUUGCAUAAAAUAAUAAACAUAAUAUAAUAAUUUUAUAUUAAAAUAAUAUUAAAAAAUAUUUCUGUAUUUGUAAAUAAUAUUAAAAUAUUUGAUAUUGCAUAAAAUAAUAAACAUAAUAUAAUAAUUUUAUAUUAAAAUAAUAUUAAAAAAUAUUUUGUAUUUAUAAAUAAUAUUAAAAUAUUUGAUAUUACAUAAAAUAAUUGUGACAGAGAUGUAAGA
rnacentral:lncRNA from 1 species